AUUGAACGCUGGCGGCAGGCCUAACACAUGCAAGUCGAACGAUUGGCGGACGGGUGAGUAAUGUCUGGGAAACUGCCUGAUGGAGGGGGAUAACUACUGGAAACGGUAGCUAAUACCGCAUACCAUCGGAUGUGCCCAGAUGGGAUUAGCUAGUAGGUGGGGUAAAGGCUCACCUAGGCGACGAUCCCUAGCUGGUCUGAGAGGAUGACAAGCCACACUGGAAAGUAGAAACGGUCCAGACUCCUACGGGUGGAAGCAUGGGGGAAUAUUGCAAAAUGGGCGCAAGCCGGAUGCAGCCAUGCCGCGUGUAGGAAGAAGGCCUUCGGGUUUUAAAGUACUUUAAGCGGGGCGGCUUUACCCGCAGAAGAAGCACCGGCUAACUCCGUGCCAGCAGCCGCGGUAAUUC
rnacentral:rRNA from 1 species